AACGAAUCAGUCCGAUUUGGUGAACCGGUUCAUCCAGUUCACUAAAAAGAACUGGUUCAAAAGAACGAUUCGUUCACGAACUGGCCAUCACUAGUAUUUGGUUUCUCUCCUGUGUGUAUGCUGUGUGGGCAGAAAAGGUCUUUCGGCUUAUAGUUUCCUGUUGCUUUCACCUGAGACAAACAUUUCUCAGAGCUGUUGUUUCAGAGCUGUUUUAUAAACUUGACUCAUUGCUGGUUUACAUUCGGGGCUGUGUGGAGAACUGCUGAUUUACAGUGUUUGUUUUUAAAGGUUGUUCUGCCCCAUUGACUUGUAUGAUAUAUUUCAGUAUGUCAUUGUUGUAUAUUUGUCCCUGGUACAAGUGUAUCUAAUUUACCGAUUUUGUAUUCCUGCUCUGUUAAGCAGCUUCGGUGCUUUUAAAAUUAAUCUGGCUUUACUGGUUGCGUUCAGACUGUUAUUUGUAUCUCUUCCCCCCCCCCCCCCCCCCCUGUUCCUAUAAGUGUAUGUUACAGUAUUAAUAUCCACCUACGACUAUCUGAUGAACUGUGAUUUUUGAGGCUUAAAAAAAGGGGAGAGUAUUUGCGUCUUGUUUUUGGUUCAUCCCUUUUUGGUUUAUCAAUGUGUCAUAUUGUCAUGCACUGAUUUGUUGUGUGGUUUGUCCCUUCUGUAAAAGUGGAUCUGAUCUAGUCUCAUCAAUUGUGGGUAUUUAACUGGUAAACUGUACAUGAGAUUUUAAAGUAUAUUUUUUUUUGUAAAAUAAAAUUUUUUGGAACGUCAUAAAUAA